GUGGGGAAUAUUCCGCAAUGGACGAAAGUCUGACGGAGCAACGCCGCGUGAGUGAUGAAGGUUUUCGGACUGUAAAGCUCUGUUGUUUAGGACGAAAGUGCCUGUUGCAAAUAGUUACAGGUAUUGACGGUACUGAACGAGGAAGCGACGGCUAACUACGUGCCAGCAGCCGCGGUAAUACGGAGGUGGCAAGCGUUGUCCGGAAUUAUUGGGCGUAAAGAGCAUGUAGGCGGGAAUCUAAGUCUGUUGUGAAAAUGCGGGGCUCAAGCCCGUAUUGCAAUGGAAACUGGGUUUGUUGAGUGCAGGAGAGGAAAGGGGAAUUCCCAGUGUAGCGGUGAAAUGCGUAGAUAUUGGGAGGAACACCAGUGGCGAAGGCGCCUUUCUGGACUGUGUCUGACGCUGAGAUGCGAAAGCCAGGGUAGCGAACGGGAUUAGAAACCCUUGUAGUCC
rnacentral:rRNA from 1 species